UGUCGACCAGGCGACAUAAAAUAGCCUCUAAGCCUGGUGCGUGCUAUACAUUUUCACAUGUAUAGCGGCUGGU
rnacentral:ribozyme from 1 species